GCGUUAGUAGUGCAACGGGUCAGAACACGAGCUCUUGGAUAGAGUGAGGUGCGGGUUCGUGUCCCUCCUGAUGCA